rfam:Macaca mulatta chromosome X, whole genome shotgun sequence.
GGGAAACGGGAACUGGGCUUGGGACAAGAGCCAUCCCAAGUCCAAGGCCAAGUAGGCUCG